CUCCGCCCGUGGGGACUGGCUGCUGCCGUCGCAGUUCUCAGGAGAUCUGAUGGUUUAAAGAUGUGCGGCACUUCCCACUUCGUGCUCUCUCCUGAUCCCUCCUGCUUCAAGUGAAGACUGACUCGAUCCCCAGUAGCCUUCCGCCUUGAUAAGUUUCCUGAGGCCUCCCAGCCUUGCUUCCUGUACAGCCUGCAGAACUGUGUGACCGUGGUGAUUGCUGGCAAUAGGGCACUGAAAAUACCACUGUUUUGAAGAGAAUUUUGUUUUAUGACAAAAUAUGGUCUCGCUCUGCUACCUAGGCUGGAGUGCAGUGGUACAAUCACAGUUCAUUGGAGCCUAGUCCUCCCGGCUCAAGCAAUCCUCCAACCUCAGCCUCCUGAGUAGCUGGGACUACAGGAACACACCACUACACCUAGAUGCAGAACAGUGAACACCAUGGACAAAGCAUCAAGACUCAAACUGACUCCAUCUCCCUUGAGGAUGUGGCUGUGAACUUCACCCUGGAGGAGUGGGCUUUGCUGGAUCCUGGCCAG
rnacentral:lncRNA from 1 species